CACAAGAGCCAGGAGCCACUCAGGCAAAGGUGUCCUGGCGUCCCUCUUAGACAGGGCCAGAUGGGCUGUCUCCUCCAGCGCGUCCCGUGUCUCUUGGCUCUUUAAGCAGACCACUCUCCACAGGAUGAUGGGCUACAGGGCCAACGGCUACGAAGGCAAAGCCCUCUAUUUCCGCUGUCCACCGACACGACUUCUUUCUCAAGCUCUUGGUCUUUGCAUUUCUGUGUCUGUGAAAACAUAUCUGUGAAGGCUGGGCAUAAGGUUAACUGUGCAUGUAUAGUAAUGGUUUGGUGGAUUAUAAUGUAGAGGAAAGCUUCUCUCCACGGUAUGUACAGAUGCUGUUUUCUACUGUAGUUUCACCACAGAUAACUCUAUAUCAGUCUUCAGUCUGUCCAUCUACCUCUGUUCAGUCGUGGCCAAAAGUUUUGAGAAUGACAUGCAUAUUAAUUUUCACAAAGUCUGCUGCCUCAGUUUGUAUGAUGGCAAUUUGCAUAUACUCCAGAAUGUUAUGAAGAGUGA